rnacentral:rRNA from 1 species
UACGAAGGGUGCAAACGUUGCUCGGAAUUAUUGGGCGUAAAGCGCACGUAGGCGGCUUUGCAAGUCGGAUGUGAAAUCCCUCGGCUCAACCAAGGAAGUGCAUCCGAAACUGCAGAGCUUGAGUACCAAAGAGGAUCGCGGAAUUCCCGGUGUAGAGGUGAAAUUCGUAGAUAUCGAGAGGAACACCAGUGGCGAAGGCGGCGAUCUGGGUGGAUACUGACGCUGAGGUGCGAAAGCGUGGGGAGCAAACAGG